AGUCGAACGUGAAAGCACUUCGGUGUGAGUAGAGUGGCGGACGGGUGAGUAACGCGUGGGAAUCUGCCCAGUAGUGGGGGACAACUACCGGAAACGGUAGCUAAUACCGCAUACGCCCUAUGGGGGAAAGGCUUCGGCCGCUAUUGGAUGAGCCCGCGUCAGAUUAGCUAGUUGGUAGGGUAAAGGCCUACCAAGGCAACGAUCUGUAGCUGGUCUGAGAGGACGAACAGCCACACUGGGACUGAGACACGGCCCAGACUCCUACGGGAGGCAGCAGUGGGGAAUAUUGGACAAUGGGCGAAAGCCUGAUCCAGCAAUGCCGCGUGUGUGAAGAAGGCCUGCGGGUUGUAAAGCACUUUCAGUUGGGAAGAUGAUGACGUUACCAACAGAAGAAGCACCGGCUAAAUCCGUGCCAGCAGCCGCGGUAAUACGGAUGGUGCGAGCGUUAAUCGGAAUUACUGGGCGUAAAGCGCGCGUAGGCGGCUAAGUCAGUCAGAAGUGAAAGCCCCGGGCUCAACCUGGGAAUUGCUUUUGAUACUGCUUGGCUAGAGUUUGGUAGAGGAUAGUGGAAUUCCAGGUGUAGCGGUGAAAUGCGUAGAUAUCUGGAGGAACAUCAGUGGCGAAGGCGACUGUCUGGACCAAAACUGACGCUGA
rnacentral:rRNA from 1 species